rnacentral:rRNA from 1 species
UACAGAGGGGGCAAGCGUUGUUCGGAAUUACUGGGCGUAAAGGGCGCGUAGGCGGCCUGCUAAGUCGAACGUGAAAUCCCCGGGCUCAACCCGGGAACUGCGUCCGAUACUGGCAGGCUUGAAUUCGGGAGAGGGAUGCGGAAUUCCAGGUGUAGCGGUGAAAUGCGUAGAUAUCUGGAGGAACACCGGUGGCGAAGGCGGCAUUCUGGACCGACAUUGACGCUGAGGCGCGAAAGCCAGGGGAGCAAACGGG